rnacentral:rRNA from 1 species
UACAUGGGGUGCAAACGUUGCUCGGAAUCAUUGGGCGUAAAGCGCACGUAGGCGGUCUGUUAAGUCGGAUGUGAAAGCCCCGGGCUCAACCCGGGAAGUGCAUACGAAACUGGCGGACUUGAAUAUGGAAGAGGGUCGCGGAAUUCCCGGUGUAGAGGUGAAAUUCGUAGAUAUCGGGAGGAACACCAGUGGCGAAGGCGGCGACCUGGGCCAAUAUUGACGCUAAUGUGCGAAAGCGUGGGGAGCAAACAGG